GCCGGCCUGAGAGGGCGGCCGGCCACAUUGGGACUGAGACACGGCCCAGACUCCUGCGGGAGGCAGCAGUGGGGAAUAUUGCACAAUGGGGGAAACCCUGAUGCAGCGACGCCGCGUGAGCGAGGAAGUACCUCCCCCCCCAAAGCUCUGUCAGCAGGGAAGAAAA
rnacentral:rRNA from 1 species